UAAGGUGUGGGGUCCAUUGAUAUCUUGAUUUGGUUAUUCUGCUUUGAGGUGACUCUGAUUUUGAUGCAAGACCUGAUAACUCCGGAUGACAAACCCUGCUGAAUCGGACUCAACCAAUUUCACUUAAUUUGACCUUUAAAAUAUGGUUAAGCCCAAUUAGGUGUGACCUGGCUCAAUUACCUGCAAUUGACAUAAAACAUAUCAGGUUCUUACAUUUAUUUAGUUAAUUAUUAUACC
rnacentral:lncRNA from 1 species